rnacentral:rRNA from 1 species
CCUACGGGAGGCUGCAGUGGGGAAUAUUGGACAAUGGGGGCAACCCUGAUCCAGCCAUGCCGCGUGUGUGAAGAAGGCCCUCGGGUUGUAAAGCACUUUCAGUGAGGAAGAACGCCUGGUGGUUAAUACCCAUCAGGAAAGACAUCACUCACAGAAGAAGCACCGGCUAACUCCGUGCCAGCAGCCGCGGUAAUACGGAGGGUGCGAGCGUUAAUCGGAAUUACUGGGCGUAAAGCGCGCGUAGGUGGCUUGAUAAGCCGGUUGUGAAAGCCCCGGGCUCAACCUGGGAACGGCAUCCGGAACUGUCAAGCUAGAGUGCAGGAGAGGAAGGUAGAAUUCCCGGUGUAGCGGUGAAAUGCGUAGAGAUCGGGAGGAAUACCAGUGGCGAAGGCGGCCUUCUGGACUGACACCGACACUGAGGUGCGAAAGCGUGGGUAGCAAACAGGAUUAGAUACCCCUGUAGUC